CUGAGCCAUAGGGAAACGCUUCUCACACACACACAGAGGCGAAAAGCAGCACAGAGGGGCUAGGCCGCAAGUCAUUAGUUCUUGGUGGACAAGCACUCACAAAAGGCUGGGGGGAGAAGGCUGCACAAGCGCCUGGAGAGCGACCACGGGAACUAUGGAGGGCUGAGCACACGGACACCCUCUUGUACACUCUCUUGUUUUUCUGGGUUUUCUCUGUGGAAGCAGGAAGCACAGAAGCUUGUGUCACAACUGAAGCUACAACAAGCUACAACAAGCAAGGAAGAGAGAUCACUUCCUUGUGCCGGGGAUCUGCUGGUGUGUAUUUUGGAAGUGAGUGCAGGCAGUCCACGUCGCCAGGUCUGCUGCCACCGCCGCUGCUGCUGCUGCUGCAGCUGCCCCCAACAUCGCUCUGAGGACCGCCGUGACCACCUGAAAAUGUUGCAGCUGCUGCGUGGACAUUAACUUGGUUUGCUCAGUGUGGAAUGUCUCCAUCACGGGUCACAAUGCUACUGCUGCUGCUGAGGGGAUUACAGCAGGGAGAGAAGAGUUGCCCGCCUUCUCAGGAAGAUCUCUAGAGCGACAAGAGGAUUUCUUUUUCAGCGAGGGAAGCCACAGACACCACAUUACUGUUUGCUCUAAGGUUCCUCGGCUGAGACUAUUUGCCUGUGCAGCGCUCGUUGCCCUUAACCAUCUCAGGAACUGGUCCGAAGAAGAGGACGAAAACACCAGGCAGGGGCUACGAGCUGGAUACAGAGAGAGCGCGAGAGAGAAAAGAGCAGAGGAAGACACUGAAAUCUACAUGCAUGCAAAACUAAAAGUUGCCACACUGAGACUGUUUCCAGGUCAUAGUGGAGUGGGAGGAGACUGAUCGCUCUUGUUUUUUUUUUUCUCGUUCUCCUGCCAAACACACUUCUACUCAAAGGCUUAAAGCCCCCUCCUUUUUUAGCCCCCCUCUCAUUGACAUCUGCCAUCUACCCUGAGGAUUGUUUUUCUUUCUGUUCUUUGGUAUAACAACCCAGAGACUUCAUAAACAACUGAGAGAGGGAGAGGUGGGGGAAAACACACGCACACACAGUCUGGACUUUUUGAUAUUUAUGUUACCUUGACAGCAACCAGAAAUCUUGGCUGCCUGUCCCAUUUUCCUCUGCGGUGG
rnacentral:lncRNA from 1 species